CGGAAAGUAAUGCUGAAAGGGAAGCCUGUAAAGCAGCUGGAUGACAGCAACCUGGAUCGAAGCUGAUGGAGGACAGUUCACUUUAGGACCAGAUCCCUUUUAACUCAGCUAAAGCAAGUCUUCCUCACCCCUCCAGCAUUUUCACUGGCUGUCUUCCUUCAGGAGUGUUGGACGCUGGCCCAUCGCUUUCCCACCUGCUUGGAUGGUCUCUGCUUGGGACUGAAAUCCCUCAUUAUGUCCUUCACUUCAAUGACGCAGUUCUGCCAGGGAAUCGGGGCCAUACACAAUGGGCAACCUGUGCGCUCCUGCCUCUGCAAGUGUCGAAUCAGGGCAGCCUUUGAAGUGAUCCAGUUGGCCCUCUGAAACUGAGAAAUGAUGUCUCUGUCUCUACCAUUGUACAGAGAGUGGGCUUGAGUGCUGUUCUGUCCUACAGCAUCAGUCCUGAAGCACACAGGUACAAACGGCUGUGACUCCAUUCCAUGAGCCACCUCUCCACUGCCAGCUGUGCUCAGCGUGGUGCGAAUUCAGGGAUGGGGUAAGAAAAGAGCAAACGAGGAAAAAUUAGAAUCACAGAAUUGUAGAAUUGUUUGAGUUGGAAGGAACCCUCAAAGGUCAUCUAUUCCAACCUCCCUGCCAUGAACAGGGACACCAACAACUCCACAGAAACCCGUCCAGCCUGACCUUGAAUGUCUCCAAGGAUGGAGUAUCCACCACAUCUUUGAGCAACCUGUGCCAGUGCCUCACCACUCUUAAUAAGCCUUCAUAUAUCAAUAUGCAUCUUUUAUAUACAAUGCAUCUUUUAUAUACAUAUAUAUAUGUAUGUGUGUACAUAUUUAUAUUUAUAUAUCUUAUGUAUGGGGUGGAAGCCAGCCUCUGUGCAAGUUCAGAAGAGCAGCCUCCACUGACUGCAGCUCCUUUCCCACUUGGCUGCCUCCAGCCUGCACACAGAGCAGAUGCAAAUAGGGGCUGCCUCAUCUUUAUGCCACCUGAACAUUAAGAUGACAAGGCAAUCUCUGACUGCAAGACUAAAGCAGCUUUCCAUCCCCUUAGUGCUGCUGGAGCAAUUUAAGAGACAGAUCUAGGUGCUUGGGUCCAGCCCAUUAUGUUCAGUGGAGCUGCAUCCAUUUGCAGCCGUGCUACAUUUGACUCCUGUGAAAUGCCUCGACAUGGGGAAUAAAUGAGUUUCUAUAGGUCUCGGAGUUGUACGCAAAUGCACAAUGAUCUCAGAUCCAUCUGCUCCCCAAGGCCUGAAAGUAAAAUCUGCUUCCAAUCUUAUGUUUUAUGCUUAUUGCUGUCAUGCUGUUUAUACACCCGAAUGCUGCACAUUCUCGUUUUGUUUAACAUAAACAACAACUAUGCACCGUCUGCUGAAACUUUGUCAACUGCCUUUUCCUUCUGUCUCGAUAAUGAAAAGACACAAUCUAGCAAAUGCAUCUUAUUCUAACUGUUUGCUUCCAGACAUAAUACAUCAAGCCCGAACAUAAGAGGCGAGUGGAAAAAAUUAGAUGGAUUUGGUUUUGGUAGAUGUAACUCAGCUCGGCUUCAUGGAAUUCAAUAGAAAACACUAAGCAAGCAACAGCCAACAACCAAAACCAGUGCUGUAUCCUUUUUGACGCCAUCCCAGAAGUUGCCAAUGCACCAAGCCAAGGUGGUCCACUCUUGGGUUUAUGCCUCAUGAACAGACAUUGUAUUCAUGGGGACGACAUUCACUUUUAAGAUGCUAAAGCAAGACCUAUGCAUAGGACUGCCUUCCCCACCUCUGCAGUUCUGAACUUUCUGGCUGUGAACUGCAUGACCUUGUCUGCUGUAGAAAUACUGGGCACUAUGAACCUUUUUUGUAUUGGAUGCUUGAAGAUGUGAAUGCACACAGCUGUUGUGCCCCAUGAUACAUCCACUGCAGUAGCCAACAACUUUAGGGGAGCAGAAGCUAUUGUUUUUCAUGGGGUCUCCAUUACAUCCAAGUGUGCAUGCAUUCAGCUCCUUGUAAUUAGGCUUAGCUGUGGCAGUUCCCCUCUGAAAGUAAAUUUUCUUCUAAAUAAAUGCUCUUAUGGGCACGGCCAGGAUUUGAGAAGUGAUGUGCAGGAAAGAAACUAUCUGGCUGUCAUUUUCUCCUGGACACCAGAAAUGCAAGAAUGUCAGCUCUGUCCAAAGAAAAUGUCAUUGCUGUUCCCUCAACAAAAUGACAUUGAGUUUCUCAGCUGAGGCUGCAGAACUCAUAUGGAGAACAACAGAAAAUACAGAAAAGGGAGAAAGGAGAAGAGACAUUGAUAAACUGACUUUAAACUUGCUAUGUGCAUUACUGUUAUAAAACAUGCGUAUCAUCUUCACUUCUGUUGUGCUAAGUGUGCCAAAUUCAAGGGGAAGGGGGGAAAUCCACUUGAAAGAUCAGCAAAGCCCCAUCCAAGAAUACAGAGCCUGACGACUUUUAGUUAGUUGGGUUUUUUUCCUCUUUGUCAACUCAAAUAUCAGUGCAGUUGCAACAAAACCAGUUGCCUAGAAUGAUUUCUACCCUAAAUUCACAAAAGGUUGAUGCAGAUUCCCUUCCUUCCUGCAGGACUUCUACUGAAGAUGCCGUCUGCUACCAACUACUAUUCCUUAGGUCUCAGGUUCUCCUUGCUCAAGCCAACCAAUCCCACUAUGUUACAUUUGCAAGUGCCAGCACUCCUCGCCCAAAAUUCAAAGCAUCCCUGUGAUAUUCACCUAGAGGACCCAGUAAUUGAGCAUGAACAAAAUGCACAUCUCCACUGAGGCAGUGUAAGAGCAAACUCUGUGCCUUACUGCAGCAUCCCGCAUACCAGAGCUGUGUGGGGUUGUGGUCUUCCAGUGCACUGCACAAACUGCUGUCUUUGGCUUCCCAAAACCUCCAGGCAGAUUGCAGCAAAAUUCACAACAUCCUCAUUGGGCGGAAAACAAACAGGAAUGGGCUUUCACAGUGUUUUGCAAAUACUCUAAGGAGUGAUGGGGAAAGCCAGAGCAUAGAGAGUCGUGGUAAUAAUAGUUAUUGUUAUUGAUAACUACUAAAUAAUUGGUUAAAAAAUAAAGCAUUACGCAUAGCCCUAGUCUGAGCUGUUUGAUCAUUCCAUUUCUAUUUUUGAAUAAAGAAAAAGCUUGUUUUGCUAUUACAGCUUCUGAAGCAAUCCAAGACAUAUGCAGGGAUGGCACACACGGAAAAUAAAACACACACACACAUCCACCACCACAGACAGCGCGACAUUUUCCGAAACCAAAAAAACUAAAGUGAAAGAACCGUGAGUUUAUCCUGAAUGUGGGCGAGUUCUCAUUUCACUGAGACAACUUUCUGGUGAAGAUGGCUAAAUAACCAGCUGGAAAGUUAAAGCCACUAAAAAUCAGCUCCCUGGAGUAUUUCUGUUGCCUUGGAUUUUACAUAAAACGCUUUUUAGUGGCUGGCAACUCUGCCCAUGGCAGGGGGUUGGAAAUGGAUGGUCUUUGUGGUCACUUCCAAUCCAAGCCAUUCUAUGAUUCAUGCACACCAUUCACUGCCCAGGUACAGCCCUACAAGUUAAAAGUUUAACGCUGGGUGGACAUGUCAAUAACAAGAGCAGCAAGAGUAGUAACAACAAGGAGCUAAAAAGACCAAGCAGCUCAGAGAGGAUGUAAAUCCCAUGGCUGGGAGGGAUGUGGGGAGACAAAGAAGACAAAAUAAGGAUUUUGUGGGACACUUUCACUCUGAGUAAACUACUGUGGAGCAGUAAGGCUUUUAGCAUGUGCCCUAAAGCAGAGAGGAGCAGAGAGGUCGUAGGAUGGUUAUUAGGCUGACUUGAGGGAUCAGCUGGAAAUCCAUCUUUCUCCCUUCUGCAAGUAAAGCAUAUCAUUUCAAAAGAGAAAUGUUCUUAAAUGAGAAAUGUAGCUGGCAACCAGGACCUCGACUCUCACUUCUGCCCUUCUAUUGCCAGGUUGGUGUGAUAGUUGAUCCUUAUUUGGGUUAAACCCGUGCCUGCUGGGGCCACUAGAGAAGCUCAUCAGCCACUGGCACACGGCUUUGGCUCAGGGCAGGUUGCCGGAAGGUGUCCUGCUGGCACCGUCACCACAGGUGUUGAGCACGCACGUUCCCCGUGCUCUGUGUCACCAGCUCUAAAUUAGGAAACUAUGAGGUCAGUUCCUGAGAAGGCUAAAAACAAAGCAGCAGCAGCGGAGCUGAUGUUAUCACAGAAGCUCUCGUUGAGGGCUGUGUUUGCUGGCAGGAACGGGGUUGCGUUGCUCAUGUCUGGAAGUGUCAGGAAUGACAACAUUUCUGUAACAAAAAGCCAGCCUGAGCCAACGUGCAGAAGAAAGGAGCUGCGGGUCACAUUCUGGCUGUGAUCCACCUGCAGAAGACCUCAACUCAUCUCCAGAACCCACAGAGCAGAGCAAUGGCUGCAGUAUCAGGUCCCUCAAAGACAAAAUAAACGUAUCUGGGGGACUGAUGCCCUGAGACAAAGCAGAUGUGAGAUGCAAAAGCCCGGCUCAUCCUUGCCCUGGUUUUGGUGCAGAGCAAGGUGAGCAGGUGAGUGUGGAGGGAGGGUGGGAACGCGUCACAAGAGCCCUGCAGGAGUGAGCAGGGUGUCUGCUAACUGCGGUGAAGCAUUCGCUGAAAACUCCCCUGUGUUUGUGGCAUUUUGUCACCAUGAAUAUUUAAUUAGGCCAAAGCGUGCCUGGCAGUUUGCAGACACGUUCUCAGUGCCAAGGGGCUGCGUGAAGCCUCCAUCAAGACAGAGGCAACGUGCAAAUGAAUCCACCACUCCAGGCCACUGUUUACCCUGCAGGCUCCCCCUUCCUCCUAUAGGAAGCUAAACCCUUGCCCACUCACUUGACUACUUUACUAAUAGCAUUGUGACAAGAAAUGAGUGGCUAGAACAGGAGGUUUGUAUGGCUGAACAUUGCAGGGAUGCAGAAUCCCCUGUUUUGGCAGAAGAAAAGGAUGGAGGUGCCCGUUUCAGGUGAUCAAACAUCAGUGUUUCCAGCAGUCAUGAUCCAAAGGUGGUUCUGCCUCCAGGACAUUAGUGCCAGCUUUUUACAUCCAUCAGCAGAAUCCACCCUUUUCAAACCAGGAUCUUGAGGCUCUCAUUUUGCUGCUGCCAUCCUGAACUGCACCCAGCCCUGUGCCUUCCACAGCAGAUCUGGCACUGGGGUGAGCAAGCAGGAUAUGCCUGCAGCCAGAAAAACCAGCACCAGGUAGGCUGAACCCUGUGCCCAAGGACAACCAGCAGCCCACAGCUUGAAGGUGGCAGGUCUCUGCUGAGACUUGAAUGAAUUACAGAAUUAUAGAAUUGUAAAGGUUGGAAAAGACCUUUAAGGUCUUCUAGUCCAACUGUCAACCCAUCCCACCAUGCCCAUUGACCACAUCCCUCCCUGUGCUACGUCUCCACAGUUCUUGAGCACCUCCAGGGAUGGUGACUCCACCAUCUCCCUGGGCAGCCCGUUCCAAUACACACUGCCCAGGCUUUCUCAGGAAUUCACCCACAUCAAAUCCUUCUCUGGUAUUAGAGAUGAAGGGAAGCAUCUUCCUCAGUGAAACAAAUAUAUUAAAAAAUAGCCUUGAUCUCUUUCUCUUGGGCUCACAUCUUUCCCAUGAGCACAUAAACCUCAAUCAUCCUGACAUUUUCAUUGAUUCCAAUGAAAGGACAAAUUAAAAGCUGAUCAUUAAUUCACAGGCUCCCUCUGCCCUUCUCCCACGUAGGAACACUGGUUUAUUUAUGUCAAAUAUUCACUUGGUGCUCUGUCGCCAGCUGUGCCAUUAUGCCCCAGAAAUUUAAGAAAACUCUGAAUUGUGAGGGCUUAUCUGGACUACAACAGACCCUUGCCCACUGGAGGUGUCCCCUUAACCACCCUCCCAUAACCAGCCUUAGGAUCUUUGUAUUCCAGCUUGCCUGCUGUAACCAAGUGAAGCUUAAUUAUUUUUCAGUGGAUGAGCCCUUGGUUUGCAUCCACCCUGUGCAAAUCAGCUUCCAUGUGUCACCUGAAAUCAGGGAAGAAAACCAGGCUGUAUCACAUGCUGACAGGCAUUCACAUGGGCGGACAAGGGGUGUGAGGGGCAGCUGAGGGCCCUGGGUUUGCUGGGAGCAGAGCAGAGGAUGCUGAGGGCUCAUGGCCAUACAGCUCCUCAUAGGGAGCAGAGGGGCAGCGCUGAGCUCUCUGGGGACAGCAAGCUUGGGUUUUCCAAGCAGAAAACACAGCGUGUGUUUAACACCCCAGAGCUACAGCAGGAGGAGGUCAAAUAACUUAGACAAAGUCACAGAGGAAGUGAGAAGAGAAACGAAGAGAGGCCGUGGUCCAUCUGAGGCCUCCCAGCCCUGUGCAUUAACCACAGUCAUCCUUUUCCUUACAUCUCAUUUUAUCCUCUAAAUGCUGGAAGCUGUUUAGUGUCUCUUUUUCUUUUCUUUCUUUCUUUUUUUUUUCUUUCCUUUUUUCUUUUUUUUUUUUUUUUUCUUUUUUCUGUUCAAAUAUUUUACUAGCUGCACUGAAAAAAGGCUACAAACAGUGGGGGAGAAUCUCUCAUGGCCAGAAUACAAUGAAGCACAUAAGUGCGAGGGAUUGCUCUUUACAAUGCUUGAAUCAAAGAUAAACAUGAAAAGAGCCACAUCCUUAGAGCAUAAAACAGAGGAAGGCACCAUUCCCGAGGGGAACAGUAAUGCCUUUAACAAAUAAACCACCAAAAAGGUCAUAGCAAUGUGGGGAAGGAUAUUUUUUCAUCCUGCAACCUACCUGAAUUUCAAAUCCUGGCAAUUUGCUAGCAAACAGCUCUGGAGAACAACACCGAGAUGCAAAAUGUGCUGCAUACAAAACCCAUCUUCCAACAGCCCCAAAGCAUUCUGUGGUCCGUCAAUGAGGAAACUUCACGCAUCACUACUGCUGGCCGGAAAGCUUUUCUCCUUAAUACGACAUCAGGCCUAUAUUGAGCUGAUAGAAUACUACUGGGCAGUCAGGAAUAUGGCGUGCUCCGUGAACUCCUCCUGAGUGGCAGACCAUCAUAUCCCAGGGAACAGGGCAAACUCAUUCCCAAAACUAGGGGCUGACUUGGAUGCCUCCUGGGUGCCUCUGAAGGGCAGACAGGAGCAGCAUUUUUUGUUUGCUCUAGGAAAUAGAGCACUUACAGUUCUCAAGAUCCCUAAAACAGCAGUGUAGCAGUCACCUCCAGUCCUUAGUCUGGGGUCAAGGUGUUCCCCAAGAGCUCAGCUCCAGCAGGGCACUGGUGACUGCUGCCAGAGCUGUGAGAGGCUGAGGUCUUUGCUUCACUUCAGCUUUCCACCCAGGUUAUCCAAGCUGGCAUGUGUGAAAAGAUAAGCAAGCUCGAAUUGCCUAUCAUGGCACAUCUUCAAAAUGAACCAUUUCCUCUUCUGUCCUCCUGCAAGGAAGAAGUAGAGCAUUUCACACAACUCUGAUAAACACAUGCAUCCUCCCCAAAUUCAGGAGCACGUAUUUGGUCAUGGGAGAAAAGCUGUUGCCAUAGGGGUUAAGCCCUAGGGGAGAUGGAGGGGCACCAUGUGAGACCAUCAGGGCACGUUUGGAGCCCACCAUGUUUCUUGUCAGCCACCUGAGUGAAUUGUUUCAAUGUCCAGGGGAGACAGAGGGCUGCUGAAUAUGCAUCACACCAUGAGGAGAUCUGCCUAUCACCAGCAGUCCCAUAGAAACAGUGUCAGGGGCUCUGCCACUCUCUGCUGUAGAUGUCAAAUUAUUCUACACUUACAGCAAGCGUGCAGUUCUGCAUCUGCCCUGCAGCGUGGUCUGCAUGCUUGGGCUCUGUUGCUGCUAUCAGCAAUUUGAUUCAACAGAUAGAGGAAUCAGAUGGGAAUGGAGGGAUGACUGCCAGUAUGGAUGCUGGGACAUGCUGAGCCACUGCAGGCAGUGCUGUUGGUGGGAAGGAAGGUGUUCUUUUGAGGAAAAAAAAAAAGAAAGAAAAAGAUCAGAGAGGGAGCAAUCAUGAGAAAUAAAAGGAGAAUGUAGGAAAAGAAGCAGGGAGAGGCUCCUUUCACUGGUAUUCCCCAAGCACCUGGAGGCAACUGAAAAGCCGGGGGGAAGAGGGUGGUGUUGUCUUUCAGUGACUAAUCCUUUGAGGGAGAAAAUCAAAUUGAUGUAUUUCCCAGGGAGAAUAGGAGCCCAUCACCAGCACCAGAGGAAUUCACUUGUAGGAGGUCUAAGUGAAGAAAACACUUCUAUAUUUUACUCAAUUUGAAGACUCAUUUUUUUCCAGAAAAAGGGGGGAGAUCCCAUUGUUCAGUUACAUCACUGCUCUCCCUGAGUCUCAUGAAAAUCUUCUGCUGACAUUCACGAGUGUGGGAAUGGGUCAUGUGUGGGAUGGCCCGGCCCAGGAGAGCUCCCCUUGCCGAGCACCACCCAGACAGGGUUGGGUUCCCCAUAGGACCUUUGUGCCUUGAGUUUCAGAGAAGGCUCAGUUUGUAUGGUUUUCUUUUCUGGGGCAAUUUGAUGCCUUUUAGUGCAAAUGGGACCUUCUUGUCUUGCAACUGAGCUGGAGCAGCCUUUGUUAUUUAAUGUAUUCUUGGCCACUUCGGCACUUCUUUUUGGCUCUUGUUAUGUCUCUGACUUGAAAUUCAGUUGUGCUGGUACACGACAAUGGCACAGAAUCAUAGAAAUCACAGAAUCAUUAAGGUUGGAAAAGACCUUUGAGGUCAUUCAGUCCAACCAUCAACCCAUCCCACCAUGCCCGCCAAUCACAUCCCUCACUGCCAUAUCUCCACAGUUCUUGAACACCUCCAGGGACGAUGACCCCACCACCUCCCUGAGCAGCCUGUGCCACUGCAUCACCGCUCUUUUGGAACAAAGUUUUUCCUAAUAUCCAGUCUGAACAUCCCUUGGUACAACUUGAGGCCAUUCCUGCUCAUCCUAUCAUCACUGUUUGCAAAGAGCACUGGGGAGCUCAGCCACAGCACACACAGUCACCCACUCUCAAGGAUGCGCAGCAUUACAAGCGAAGCAGCUCUCAGAAAUGCAGCAAAGGGCUGCUGGAGGGCUCCCGCUUGCACUGCUCCAGGCGGCCACGUUCCCAAGCAAGCACGGGGCUCAGGGAGAAGAAAGGAUUUUGCACGGUUCAUGUGUCAGACACAGCCCAGAAAGGUCAAUCGGUUUUGCAGCGGGAGCCAAAGGAGAGGGAAAACUGUGGCUGAUUCGGAGGAAAGGGGGAAGGGGAGAAAGAAUCUGUGAUCGCGCCAAGAGCUCUGUAAACAAAUUUCACUGCAAUGCUGUAGAUGAAAGAGCAGCGCCCGGCGAGCGGGCUCCAGCCCCUGGGCAUAAAUCAGGAGCCGCUCUCAAACCAAGGAAGUCACGCUGGUGUGGGCAGGAGGAGAUCACCCCCUCCUGCUCUGAACAAUAGCGCUGGGUCCUCAGACAUGCUUCCCUCGUCCAAAUGGGCAGCUCACUUGGGUGGCUGUGGUUUGAAGGAGCCGUAGCCCUGGUGCUAUCCCUGCCUGGUUCAGGACAAGCAUUGAAGCAUAUUUGCCUGCGGGAGGGAAGGUUUCACCUCUCACCUCUGCUGCUGCCUCCCGGCCUCUCUGAGCAUCCCUGCGUGUCCAGCAGCACGCAGGCGCCCACUCUACCCGCGAAGGCAAAGGGUGGCUUUCCCACAAGGAGAUGAGCAUUGACAACGAGUGCGGCUCGCUGACAGCACACUGAGCCACGAGUUGCUUUUUACACCCUCUUACAAUAAAUCUGAGCUGGAGGGGGGCUGCGCUUUUCCCACUCUCCCGCCAGCACGGCCUCUCAUUGUUUACUCUCCCCCAGCAGUCCAGGCGCUCUUGUUAAUGUGCUGUGAUUGAGUACUUUGGAGAGGACGGGUUUGGGGUUAGCUCCCGGCUCCCUUCCGAGAGCUGUUUACUCUUCAGUGAUGCCUAUGGCCCGCUGAAGACAGCGCUCCUCCACCCCUGCUGGGUCCAUCUGCUUUGUCUGCCUGUUUUCCUGCUGCCACCGGCAGGCAGCUGGCCUGCGUAUUUCAGCCAGCACUGCAAACCCCUGGAGGAAAAAAAUAAAAUUAACCCCAUCAGGAAGGGGGCUGGGAAGGAUGGGGAGGAAGGAGAGAGCGGGG
ensembl:lncRNA